rnacentral:lncRNA from 1 species
CUCAUUUUCUCUUGCUGCUACCAUGGAAGAAGCGACUUUCGCCUCCCGCCGUGAUUCUGAGGCCUUUCCAGCCAUGUCAAACUCAAAAUGUGACUGAAAAACAGAAGCAUUUGGAAUACGUAACAGAAGUCAUUAAAAAGAGCCAUGUAAUAUGUGCCUGCUUCCCCUUCUGCCAUGAUUGUAAGUUUCCUGAUGCCUUCUCAGCCAUGCAGAACUAGUCUCACUCUAUUGCUCAGGCUGGAGUCAGUGGCGCAAUCUCAGCUCACUCCAACCUCCGCCUCAUGGGUUCAAAUGAUUCUCCUGCCUCAGCCUCCCAAGUAGAUGGGAUUACAGGCACAUGCCCCCAUGCCCAGCUAAUUUUUGUGUUUUUAGUAGAGACUAGGGUUUCACCAUGUUAGCCAGGCUGUUCUCAGACUCCUGACCUCAGGUGAUCCACCUGCCUCGGCCUUCCAAAGUGCUGGGAUUACAGGCAUGAGCCACUGCACCAAGCCUUAUUCUAUUGAUUAUUAUAAGAAGUGUUAACAUCUUGAACUAUGAUUAUAUAUUCAUCAAUUUAAGCAUAUACAUUUGAUUUUGUUAAGUCCUCCUGAAGAAGUCUGUUUAUAAUAUUAAAUAUCCUAGUUGAUCACUGUUUUAAAAUUUACUUUUUUAUAUAUUUUUUUUCACUUAAUGUAACUCUGAUCAAUGCUACUUCAGUAUGCCUGGAAGUGGAAAUUACAAUGUGGAUAUUUUUAAUGAGGAAAAAACUGGCUUUUAAUUUUCAAGUGAGUCUUAUGUACUCCCCCACAUAUUUAGACAUAUAUGUAUGUGUGCACGUGUGCCUAUAUAUACUUAUAUACUUCAUAUAUAUAUACACACACACAUAUAUGUGAAGAGAGAGAGAAUAUGUAUACACACAUACCACAUUUAGCAAGUUUUUAAGUACUUUAGGUGUCGAGCUGUGAAUGAGAAAAAAGAGCAGGGAAUUCAAAUAAAAAUAAUGUGGACUUAAUAUAAUUACUGGUAAUCUUAGAUUUUGUUUCUAUUUACUGUUGAAUUUUAGGUAAAAAUUCAGAAUAUCUUAGAAUAGCUCAUCAAAUUUCCAGUCCAUGAUAUAACCCAGCCCCAUCCCAUAGAACAUGAUACACUGAUUUUUACAUAUUAUAGUUCUUUUAUAUAUUUAGUGAGAAGCAUUAUUUAUCAAUUUUCUUUAAUGUCUUAUUGUAUUGUGUAUUAUAUAAAUAAUUCUAUCAGUAUAUUCCUGUUUAAAAAUGAUUUUUGUAAGGCUUCACUAAGUUGAAAUUUCCAGACAAAGAAAAAGUUGUACCGUCCCUUUUUUCCUUUAACGGAAUCAAGUAAAUCUGAAUGUGUUAGUGGUCUACAUUUCCACUGAGGAUAAUUGACAGACACUGAGGUCUCUCCUUUUAAGUAACUGUCAAAGAGUAUCCUAAGAGGCUCUAGGGAAUAUGGUAAGCGAUUGCUAAUGAUGUUUAUGUGUCUAAAUAUCAUCCUAACAAUGUAACACUCUCCCAUUAACAAAAUUGUUUCUACAAUUACCAUCAACAUUAUUCCAAUAAAUGUAAUCUUGUUAUUUCAUUAUGAAA